ensembl:lncRNA
AUGAUAAACAUUUUAACAAUACUGCUCUGUUCCCUGCAGGCGAAGCGACUGGCCCUGCAAAGAGACAUCGAUCAGCAGUCCCAGCCCAGGCAUCAAGUCAAACCCUUGAUAAGCCAGGGGCCUGUUGUUGUGGAAAAGGUGAACAUGAAGACGAAGGAGGAGAAGAGUGAGGAGAACUUUUUAAAGAAGGAGAAGAAACACAAGAAAGGACAAACCUCUCUGCUGGAAAAUAAAAGCUUAACUGUAGAUGAUAAGAGCCUAGCAGAGGUGAAAAAAGAAAAGAAGAAGAAGAGUAAAACAGUGGAUGUUAUAGUUAUAGAUACAGAAGAUGAGUCUUUGGAUGGAGGGGGUGAAAAGGAAGAGAAGAAAAAGAAGAAGAAGAAAAUUGAUUCUGAAUCUCUAAAUGCUGCCAAUGUCAAGAAAGGAAAUGACAAUGAAGUCAGUAAAAAGAAGAAGAAGAAACAGGUGGAAAUGGCACAGUUCAGUUCAGUAAAAGAAGAUGAAGUGGAAAAGAAACCGAGUAAAAAAAAUAAAUCUGUUCAGAUUGAAUCAGAAAAUGUGAAGAUGGAAAAGGAGGAGGACCAACAGCAAGCUGGAAAGAAUGAAUUACCAAAGAAAGCCAAAAAGCGUAAAAACAUUUUAGUUGUAAACACAGAGAAGUGUGAGGAGAAAGUAAAAGAAAAGAAAACCACUGAAGCUAUGGAUGGAAUAAGUGUAACAAAAAAGAAAAGUGCAGCUAAAAGAAAAGUGGCAAAGAAUGGAGUGAAGUUAGAAACACCAGAGGAAGAUACUGGUGAGGUAGAAGAGGUAAAGGGGAAAAACAAGAGAAAAAAGGAAGCCGCCACUAAAGAAGAUGGAAAUGGAUUAGGAAUAACGCAAAUCAAAGGUAACGACAAAGGGAGCAAAGAAGCAUCGGACAAAAAGGUGGUGCCCAGCAAGAAGAAAGACGAAUCCACAGAGAGUGAGAUUGUUAUCGUAGACGAGGAUGAGAUGGAGCCGAAGAAAAAAGGGAAGAAAAAAAAGGGGAGAAAAGCUUCUGUGGAGGUCAGCGAAGUAGAGGAGACGGAGCCAAAGAAGAAGAAAAGGAAAAAGAGAAACUCAAAGGGAGAGGAGGAAGAAUCAUUAGUACUGGAAUGUGAAGAAGUUGAGGAGCCGAGGAGUGAAACAGGCAAGAAGAGCAAAAGGAAGAAGAGCUCCACUAAGAAGGCAACACAGGUGGAGACUGUGAGUUCUGGAACUGUUGACAAAAAGAAGAAGAGGAAGAUUAAAGAAGAGGUGGAAGACCAACAUGACUCCGCCCAUGUCUUGGACGUGGUCUUCCUGUCAGAGAAAACAGGAAACACUGAUGAGGUCAACAUAAACCAGGUAAACAGAGCUUUCAUUACACGUGGAAAGUGUGAUAUUUAUUGCUGUGCAUAAAUGUUGAACAUUUCCGGAAAUGCUCUUAUUCACUUUCUUGCUGAGAGUAAGAUUGAUACCACUCUCAUGUCUGUAUGGUAACUAUGAAGCUGGAACAAACAGCCCGUUAGCUUAGCACAACUACUGGAAACAAGGACAAACAGCCUGGCUCUGUCCAGAAACAAACAUAAGCCUACCACUAUUUUUAAUCUCACUAAUUGACACAUAUCUGAUUUGUAGUUUAAUAUUUAAUAACCAGACAUGAUGGUG